GUUUGGCCAAGCUACUGGACGUAUCAAUGCUACGUCCGCUCUCUGCUCGUGCAAGUAAUAAAAAAGUGAGUCAAUAUUCGACAAAAAGACCCAUUCAUUUUUCUGGCUGACACGGUGUUUUAAUCAACCGGUGUAAAUUAACGAACUAUUGUUAUUAAUAAUUGUUAUUAAUAAUAAUUUUCACUGACAUUGCCCACUAAAAAAAACGAAUUUUGUGUCCUGCUCUGCAAACCAGAGAUUAAAUUUUAUUUUAAGAAACUUUUCGUCUGCUUUUUGCAUAACUUUUCUGUGUUGAUUUUCUGCAUAGUCAUGACUUGGUUAUCAUUUAUUUCAUCAAGUUAUUAUUAUAAAGUUAUUACAAGUUAUUACUAUUAAUUACAUAAAGUUAUUCUUAUUAUAAGCAACAUUACUUAUUUCACCUUGUAGAUAGCGUAUCACUUCUUCUAACCUUACACUCAGAGAGACAAGCGAGACCAUGUCUUAAUAACGAUGCACUUUUUUGUCUGUGCGUGGGUCAUUCUGACCCACUUUGGCCUGUCUGCAACGCGUAUCAGUACUACGUCUGCGUUCUCCUCGUGCUGUGGAUAAGAAAGUGUCACUAUUUGGACAACAUGAAGCCAUUAAUUCUUGUGAGUGUACACAGCUCUACACGUAAUUGCCUCUGAAGACUUCACGAUGAACUUAGAAAUAUUUUUUGGACUUCGCUUCAUUUGUUAUAGCCUCGUCUAUUGUUCAUAAUAAUUAUGUGUGGGCUUUUGAGAUCGUUAUACGAAUUAUUCGUACAACGUUUAUUCGUGAAUCGUAUAUUCGUAUGACGUGAUUAUUAUUACAUUUUAUGUUAACGAUGAAUUUGUUGCAUCGGUUUUGUUUUGCGGGGUUAGGGUUGCCACAGGUUAGGCUCACUACAGGUUAGGCUCAAUACAGGUUAGCCUCUCUACAGGUUAGGCUCAAUACAGGUUAGCCUCUCUACAGGUUAGGCUCAAUACAGGUUAGCCUCUCUACAGGUUAGGCUCACUACAGGUCUGUUCAUUUGUAAAUAAGAGUGCGUUUAGCUCCUACAGUGUACAGCUCUCUUGACUUCAGUUCUGUCAAAUAAAACUUCUUCUAUU